UGGGGAAUAUUGCACAAUGGAGGGAACUCUGAUGCAGCGACGCCGCGUGAACGAAGAAGGCUUUCGAGUCGUAAAGUUCUUUUAUAUGGGAAGAUAAUGACGGUACCAUAAGAAAAAGCCCCGGCUAACUACGUGCCAGCAGCCGCGGUAAUUCGUAGGGGGCUAGCGUUGUCCGGAAUCACUGGGCGUAAAGGGUUCGCAGGCGGAAAUGCAAGUCAGGUGUAAAAGGCAGUAGCUUAACUACUGUAAGCAUUUGAAACUGCAUAUCUUGAGAAGAGUAGAGGUAAGUGGAAUUUUUAGUGUAGCGGUGAAAUGCGUAGAUAUUAAAAAGAAUACCGGUGGCGAAGGCGACUUACUGGGCUCAUUCUGACGCUGAGGAACGAAAGCGUGGGUAGCAAACAGG
rnacentral:rRNA from 1 species